rnacentral:rRNA from 1 species
UACGUAGGGUGCGAGCGUUAAUCGGAAUUACUGGGCGUAAAGCGUGCGCAGGCGGUUUUGUAAGUCUGACGUGAAAUCCCCGGGCUUAACCUGGGAAUUGCGUUGGAGACUGCAAGGCUGGAGUCUGGCAGAGGGGGGGUAGAAUUCCACGUGUAGCAGUGAAAUGCGUAGAGAUGUGGAGGAACACCGAUGGCGAAGGCAGCCCCCUGGGUCAAGACUGACGCUCAUGCACGAAAGCGUGGGGAGCAAACAGG